CGUUUUCAUUCGGAGGAAAUGGAAAGUGUGCAAGAGGAGGAAAGCCAACUGCGUAAAUAAUGGCAACAAGUGGCUGCCGGGCUUCCAUAUCAAGUUUGUCAAGAAUUUGCCAAGCUUUCAAAAAUCGACGUAACGUAACCGGCUAACCUCCCAUCUUGAUCGUAAAAUGAUUAGAGAUGACACUGAUAGGACCAGUGGAUAAUAUACAUAUGUGGGAUUUACGCAGAGAGGUGUUAGGGCAGACAACAAUAAAAAUAAACGAAGGUGCCGAGAGUGAGAAAGGGAGAAGAAACGGCAGCUGCAAAAACAACAAAAAGCUCAGACAAGAAAAGAAGAAGAAGACGGAAAGAAGACGCCGGUACAGUUGCGCUCACACACACACGCACACACAAGAAAUUCGCAAAGAGCGUAAAAAAUAUAAAAAAAAAUGCAGCGUGGCGCUUUUAUAACGGAACACAAAACAAAAAAAAAGCAAAAGCAAAACACAUGCUGCACUCAAAACAAACCGACGGGAGAGGAGAACGAAGAAGACUUACGGAGAGCGCAAUUGAUGCUUGCGAAAGAGGGGAGGACAGACUAGAGCCGCUUAGGGUGGUCAUCAUGUAAGAGGGAGUCUCUGGAACCACCCGAUGUCCUGCGGUGAGGCUCCUUUAGAUUCUGAAAUCUUCUCUGCAUCUCUGGCUGUUAAUUACGGUCACACUUCGCUGA